rnacentral:rRNA from 1 species
GAUCAUGGCUCAGAAUGAACGCUGGCGGCAUGGAUUAGGCAUGCAAGUCGAACGAGAAAGCGCCUUCGGGCGCGAGUAAAGUGGCGCAAGGGUGAGUAACACGUGAGGAACCUGCCCCCGAGCCCGGAACAAGCCUGGGAAACCGGGUCUGAAACCGGAUGAGGCCCCCGGCCGCAUGGUCGGCGGGCCAAAUAUUCAUAGCUUGGGGAUGGCCUCGCGUCCCAUUAGCUUGUUGGCGGGGUGACGGCCCACCAAGGCGACGACGGGUAGGUGGUCUGAGAGGAUGGUCACCCACACUGGGACUGAGACACUGCCCAGACUCCUACGGGAGGCUGCAGUCGAGAAUCUUCCGCAAUGGGCGCCAAGCCUGACGGAGCGAUGCCGCGUGAGGGACGAAGGCCCUAGGGUUGUAAACCUCUGUCGUCCGGGACGAAACCAAUGACGGUACCGGGCAAGAAAGCCACGGCUAACUACGUGCCAGCCGCCGC